CCGAUUAGAUCAGACAUGUAAAUGCAGAGACAAUAAAAAAAAAAAAAAAUAGAACUUAAAAGCAAGCAGCAUAAGCUUAUUUUGCAUUAUUGUUGGACUGCUUUCCUACAUAUUAUUUAUUUCCAGAAUGACCUGGGGUCUGUACCACAAAGCAAGAUGUGGGUUCGCCAGCCACCAUUGGGCUUAACACACACACUUGACAGGAUUCCUGACAGUGUCAAUACUUCUACACUCUUAUUUCAUCACUGCUGCUCAGAACGACACAAGGUAUCUUAGCUUCCUCAUGAUUGUGAUGAUGUCGCUUGUAAUGAACACCUCCCCCUCUUUCACGUGAAGGCGCCCAUAGAUGGAAACAGAUCACCAAG